rnacentral:misc_RNA from 1 species
UUUCCGUAGGUGAACCUGCGGAAGGAUCAUUCAUAAUAAAGUGUUUUAUGGCACUUUUUAAAAAUCCAUAUCCACCUUGUGUGCAAUGUUAGAUCUCGUCAAUCUUGGCGAGAUUUUUAUACAUCAACUCAUUUUUUAACUAAUUUGUCUGAAAAAUAUUAUGAAUACUUACUUCAAAAUACAACUUUCAACAACGGAUCUCUUGGCUCUC